AGGACGAACGCUGGCGGCGUGCUUAACACAUGCAAGUCGAGCGGUAAGGCCUUUCGGGGUACACGAGCGGCGAACGGGUGAGUAACACGUGGGUGAUCUGCCCUGCACUUCGGGAUAAGCCUGGGAAACUGGGUCUAAUACCGGAUAUGACUUCAGGUUGCAUGACUUGGGGUGAAAGAUUUAUCGGUGCAGGAUGGGCCCGCGGCCUAUCAGCUUGUUGGUGGGUAAUGGCCUACCAAGGCGACGACGGGUAGCCGACCUGAGAGGGUGACCGGCCACACUGGGACUGAGACACGGCCCAGACUCCUGCGGGAGCAGCAGUGGGAAUA
rnacentral:rRNA from 1 species